UCCCUAGUGGUCUAGGGUUUAAGACUCUGCGCUUCCACUGCAGGGGGCUUGGAUUCUAUCCCUGGUUGGGGAG
rnacentral:tRNA from 1 species